GAACACCUCAGUGUCAGUCAGUCCCUCUGGUGAAAUAGUGGAGGGCAGUUCAGUGACUCUGACCUGCAGCAGUGAUGCCAACCCACCUGUGGACAAAUACACCUGGUACAAGAAGAACGUAACCUCACCAAAAGCAUCAGGACAGAGUUACAGCAUCACUAACAUCAUCUCUGAGGACAGAGGAGAAUAUUACUGUGAGGCCCAGAAUGGAAGAGGAUCUAUGAACUCUACAGCUCUGAUGAUCAUUGUAGCAGGAGAUCCACAGGAGGAAGUGAUGCCACAGCAGACACACAGAGUGUCCGUCCUGACUGUAACAGUGACACGUACACAGCUCUGAACAUGAGGACCAUGUCCCUUGACUACGACACUCUGAUAAGUGUCCAUCCUGACCCUAACAGUGAUACGUACACACCUCUGAACAUGAAGACCACGUCACCAGAGUAUGAAACCCUGGCAAAUGUGAGGGGAAUCUCCCACUGAAGAGAACAACCACAGAACCUGGACUGAAGAGAAGCACCACAGAACCUGGACUGAAGAGAACAAUCACAGAUCCUGGACUGAAGAGAAGCACCACAGAUCCCGGACUGAAGAGAACAACCAACAUUGAACCUGGACUGAAAAUGAUCACCACACAACCUGGACUGAAGAGAACAACCACAGAUCCUGGACUGAAGAGAGGCACCACAGAUCCUGGACUGAAGAGAGGCACCAUAGAUCCUGGACUGAAGAGAAGCACCAUAGAUCCUGGACUG